rnacentral:rRNA from 1 species
AUGGACCCAACAGCACCAGCGUUUAAUCGGGUUGCUGCUCCAACAGUUGAGCAUCUCGACCAGCGCGCACUACUAAUAAGGGAUAAAUUCAGUGCUGAUGGUUGGCUUUGUCCGCGUUGUUAUCAAGUAAACAACCCCAUAGACAAUCUACUCUAUAGGGUUCCAGCUUUCGAGUGUACUAAUCCCGAGAAGUGCAAUGCUAAGUGCCCUGGGACAGUUGAAUUGAGCAUUACUGACUGCAUAAUGAAUACCGUCAGGACCAAUUUUCUGAUUAGAAGUCAAGGCGAUAACCGGAACUGCACAGCACAUGCAGUCUUGGCCGGCAUGGAUGCUGCACUUAAAAUCGAAGGGGCCCUCCGCGGCGUGCCUGUGUUACAGGCACUCAAUGGUACAAGCCUAUUAAGAGACUACCACCGCUUCUAUCCGGAUGGUGUUGGGCAUGAACUACAGCGGGAAUGGAGAGGAUAUCACAGAUAUGAACAGCUGCUGAGGGUUGCCCAGGCGUUCGGAGUUGAGUAUGUGUCUCCUAUGAGAACAAUCACAAGGGCGCUGAGACUGCAAUCCUGGUUUCGACUGAUAACUAGGCAGACUAGUCUGGACUAUCUAGUGCGCCUGAUCGCUAAUGGCUAUCCGUUAUUAGCCACCAUGGAGAUUGGUCGCUGGUUCAGGCUGGCAGAGGAUGGACAGUUGUACAUGGGGCCUCCUGCUGAAUUUCCCGGUAAUCAUGCUGUGUUGCUGAUUGGAAGCGUAGCAAAACAAUUGGCGCUCCCAAAUAACAUAACCGGGCAGAGUGAGGUGGUUCCCAGCCUUCUUUUUAAGGCAAGGAACUCACAUGGGUCUACAGCUCACAGGUCUGCUGCACAAGGAGGUUAUGGUGGGGAUGUGUACCUAUUGGCGCAGGAUUUAGGUCCAUACUUGUAUGGAUUUCGUAUUGAGACCCCAACCUGGAUGCUUCCUAAUGCUGCCUGA